CCUACGGGAGGCAGCAGUAGGGAAUCUUCCACAAUGGGCGAAAGCCUGAUGGAGCAACGCCGCGUGGGUGAAGAAGGUCUUCGGAGCGUUAAACCCUGUUGUUAGAGAAGAAAGUGCGUGAUAGUAACUGUUCACGAUUCGACGGUAUCUAAACAGAAAGGCACGGCUAACUACGGGCCAGCAGCCGCGGUAAUACGUAGGUGGCAAGCGUUAUCCGGAUUUAUUGGGUGUAAAGGGAGCGCAGGCGGACGUAUAAGUCUGAAGUGAAAGCGUGCGGCUUAACCGGAGUAGUGCAUUGGAGACUGGGAGACUUGAGUGCAGUAGAGGAGAGUGGAACUCGAUGUGUAGCGGUGAAAUGCGUAGAUAUAUGGAAGAACUCCGAUUGCGAAGGCAGCCUUCUGAUCUGUCACUGACACUGAGGUUCGAAAGUGUGGGUAGCAAACAGGAUUAGAUACCCUUGUAGUC
rnacentral:rRNA from 1 species